AAUAGGCGGGUUACACUUCCUACUUGCCUGCUUGAGCCUGUCACAAGUGAAAUAUAUUUACAUUCUUACUCAAGCAGGAAACUGGUUUCACUUCCUGCUACACACUGACUGCAAGCAUAUCAUCUCCUUAAAUUCUGAUUGGGGAAGCUGCUUUCAGUGGCGGCAAUGAAUUUCAAAUUAACCAAUCAGGCCGACUCAAGCAUUCCAGAGCAGACCCACAUUCAGUCUCCCACAGGCAACGAGUCGGGUCCUGCGGGCAUUGCGCCAAAGCGUUACCUGUUGCCAGUGCAGACUCCUCAGGAGGCUGAGUUACAGAAGAUGAGCUGGUGCCUGACACUGCUGCUGGUUCUCCACUGGGCUCCAGAAACAGAAGAAGCCCAAGAAUCUAGAACCGUUGCUGUGGGCUCUUCAGUGCUGCUGAAUGCAUUGCCCACCAGCAAACACACAGUCAUAGAUCAUUUGCUGUGGGAAUACGUAAAAAGCUUUGAGACCAGAAAUAUUGUGGAUUACUACAAAAGUGGAAAGAAACCUGUGAUCUAUACACCCUAUCAAGGCAGAGUCAUUAUUAAUGAAUCCACCGGCUCCCUUUUGUUGAAAAAUGUGCAAGAGACUGACAGCGGGACCUACAGAGCGACCAUCAAUUUGAACAAAAUUGAAGCCAGAGAAACGAAAUUGCUAGUCUUAGAGCCUGUACACGAAGCUCAUCUACAGAUAAAUUCUACUGUGAUAGGUUCUUCCGUUGAAUUAUCCUGCAAGGUGCCAGCUGGUAGAGUACGAGCUAUUGAUUGGAAGAAAGAUGGGAAGCCCCUCCCCAGGAACAAAUGUUACUAUUUCUCUGAAGACUUCACUGUUUUGUACAUAUCAGAAGCUCAGAAGUCAGAUUGUGGAUCCUUUUCUUGCAAUGCCAGCAAUGAGAUCAGCUGGCGGGAAACCUCAGUGAAUUUGACCAUUGAGGGUAUCGUGCCAGCCCUAAAGAAUACACUGAAAAUUUCUACUAUUGCUCUUGCUAUUGCAAUAUCAUUGGCUGCUGGAUCUGGCUUGGGCUUCACUAUCUUGUGCUGUCAAUCAAAAAAUAAAAAAAUCAAGGGAGAAUUAUGGAGAUGGCUUGUCGUGGUCAUCCAUGGGCUCGUGUGUGUUUCAUCCAUCCUGAUGUUUGCUGCUGCUCUCCUCUGGGUGUGGGAAGAAGGUCUCUCCACAGCCCUUACGUUGUGUAUGGUCUUCCUCACGUGGGUGAUCAUGGUAACACUUCUCAUAAGCGCCGUUCUGGCGACUUGUCCCCAACACCUUGAGAAAUUUAAAGAGAAAACAGUGUACCGGGUCCUUCUGGAUAUUGCAGCUCCAGGAGGAAUGAUUCUAGUUGUGUUGUUUGCCAUCUUCCUUACAGAGAACAUCCAGCAUCUCCAAAGAAAAGGCUGCUCACCAGUUUUUGGCAGCACAGAUGCCAUCCUUAUUGUGGCUGCAAUUUCUCUUCUUAUUCUUCUAGCACUCUUCAUGUGGUAUCACUGCAGGAAAAAAAGCCAAGAACACAAUCCUCAAGAAGACGAGCCUGCCACCACAGUAAGGAUGAAGUACCUCAGAAAACUUUUUAAUUGGACUUUUAAAAUAUCCGCAUUGGGUCUCGCUAGUGUAACAAGAUCCAAGAGUUCCCUCAAUUCAUCCAGAACUUCUCUGAGCUUCCAGAACUUCCAAACAUUGUAUCAUGUCUUAUGCAAAUACAGAGUUACAUGCUUAACUAUUUCACAUGUAACUGAAAAGCUGAGACUAUGUGGAAGCAUACAUAAUACUGUAAUAGAGCUGAUCCCACCAUCCUGGCUACAGCCUGCUGUUUUCGCAAGUAAUGCCAUUGGGUUUUUCAUGACCUGCUGCUCAGGAGUUUCCCGAAUGUUGCAUCUGAUCCGGAUAACACUGCAUCCAGGACUACAGUGUCUCUAAUACAGUGAGACUUGCUGUCUGUUGCUUCCUGCGGCUCCUAUUGGCCAGGAAUGGUGGGAGCUGCUGGCAGGUGCCGUCCACGGACUGCAGGUUACCAACCAUUGUUUUACCACCAUGUCUGGACAUCAGCUCAGUAGUGACUACACGCUAGAUUGAAGAGGUUGAAUGACAAUACUGGAUUUCCCCUGCAACUGAGCAAUAGCCACUUGCACUCUUAGUCUUGGAAGGAGCUGCAGCUCAAAGAAACACCAGUGCUAGUUCUGGCUGUACGCGUUUGCUUCCCGGAGUUGAUCUCAGCAAGCUCGAUGACACCCUCUGCUGUUUGAGAAUGGUCAGGCACUAGCUCUUGGAGGAUGUUCCUUUGUCAUCCAGGCCUGGAGCUCAGUCCUGGGAUGGCAAGAGCUGCAGUACUGACCAGAAAGCGAGCACGGCUGAAGGGAAGCCUGAGGUAAUAGCUAACACAGCAGAACACAUUUCAAAAGUUUUAACAUCUUCAUUGUUUUUCCUAUGUAGGAACCGUUAAAUGAGAGUCCAGAAGCUGAAAGCUCCACAUAAAGGUAUUAUCCUCCAGGUCAGUAGUUCUCAGGUGGGAGCAUGAGGCAGUGUAAAAAGGCAUCAGAGCUUAGAGUAGAACACAUUUUCAGUUUAAAACUGAAUUUUUAAUCCUCCCUCCCAACAAAGCUACAAGGAUCUGCUUGACAUUUGGAAUGCUCAUUCUAGACUCAGGAUAGAGUUUGUAACACAGAUUUGGAGUCUCAUAACCAGGUGCUUGACAUACCG